ACAUCUUACUUGCACCUUUCAUAGGUAAUGAACCGUCUCCCCCACGCCCUUCCUUCCACCGAGAGAACUACCCAUGAUUACCCCCACUUCCUCCCAUCAACAAAAUUAACCCAGCAAACAACCUCCUGAGAGAAAGGAUGAAGAAGCCGGAUGUGAGCUAUGCUCAUGGACAACUGAAUAUCCAGAAAGGUUAAUUACCAUACAAAAAAAAAAUAAAUCUAAAAGUGGAUAAAGAAAGAUGUUGUCCAACUGGAGGAAUAAAGACAAAGCAGGGAUCUUUACAUCUGAAAAUGGUUUUCCUCAAGAUGAAAAAAGCUGAUGUGAACCUACAAUAGACAAACAGUUCAGUUUCAAAUGAAGGUGGAAUUGGUAUUCCUCAAGAUGAUCUCGAUCAUUUCUAGAAUUCAGAGUUAUGUUAAAUUGAGAUCAUAUGUUAAAUUGAGAUCAUUCUUUGAUUAAUAUAUUGUUUGGAAAAGGAGUCUACUGUGCUGAUAAGGUGAGAAAGAGCGGGAAGUCUCCUUGGAAUAGGUCUAUGAUCUCAAGAAAGCUUCUGUGAGAGAAUUGAUCCUGUAAAUUGUCAUCUAUCUUUAUUUGUGUUCAUGUGUUUCACAUUUACAGGAGUACAUGUAAGCACUCAGUUCUUACAGGCAUGUAUGUGUUUUCACAUGUUUUUGAUGGGAUCUUUGAUUUCUUUCCAAGGUGGAACAAGUGAUGACUUGGAUGUUCCCACCUUUUGUGCUGAAUUUGCAAAGGAACAUGAAGUUUGUCUAUUUGAUGGAGUUAACAAAUUCACUACCAAUUGAGUAGACUGUUGUUUUCCUCUGUGAUCAUCAUCAGCUGUGCAUACAAAUGGAAAAUGAAAUGGGGUCCUUCCCAUAUCUCUGAACUAUACUAAUCAACUUUUAUUUCUCUGUUUGUUUUCAGUUAACUUGAAAUUGUCUGAAAAUGAGCAGACAAUUAUGAUUCCAUGGUUAAUGAAUAUUUGUUCUUUUUUCUCAUUUUCUUACUUUACAAUCAAAUACUAGCAUUUUUUGAUAUGUAAUGGUUUGGUUCAUUAAGUAUUUUCUGUGGCUUCGAAUUUUGAAAUGUUUUAAUAAAGGUCUAAGAUUUUGAAAUGUUUUGGCUGUUACUGCCUGCUGAUUAGAGUUUCGACUAACACUAUCAGAUGUUGAACCAGUUUGGUAAUCUCACUUCUAUUGGUUGUUUCUUAUGCUAGAUAAUCAAUGUUUCUAUAUAUUUACUUUUGGUUUUAUUGAUGCAAUAUCAUCACACAACGGAGUUUUUUUUUGUUGUGAAGUUGCUCUUACAGAUCAUGCUGCUUCAGUGAUGGAAUAUCAUUACACAAGGACGCCUUAACAGGGGAGUUUUUUUAGUGAAGCUGCUCUUGCAAAUCAUACUGCUGCGUCAAUCCUUAAAUUUCAUAACCAAAUAUAUAAAGAACACUGUGUCUCCUAAUAGAGAUUCUAAUGCUGAUUUGAACAAUUUUGUUAUACCUCUAGACAACAGUCAUGCUACAGCUGCAACGGGCACUAUUAGGAUGUUCAUAUAUUUUCUGAAAGUGUUUCUGCUGCCUGAGGGUUUGGAGUUUUCGGAGAAGAAAAGUAAGUAGACAGGGAUAUGGGAAAAUCAUCAUGACUUGGAUGGUUUUUGAGAGAGUGCAUGGAAAUAACAUAAGUGGUCAGACUUCACCAGAGGUUGGGUCUUUUUUCCUCCCUAGGAGCCAAUGCAUCACACUACAAGUACAAGCUAUGAGUUUUUGUAGAUGUACCAAUUUGGUGGUCCAUUAUUUACAUGGUUGGUCCAACAAGAAGUAUAAGAUUAUUAUUUUCGCAACUAAUUUGGUUGUGUUACUUUAUUGGUAGAUAUACUUAGAUCUACCAUGUACAGAUAUUUUAUUCAAAUAAAUUUAAGUUAAACGAAAAUCUACUUAAUAGAGAAGUC